GACGAACGCUGGCGGCGUGCUUAACACAUGCAAGUCGAACGGAAAGGCCCUGCUUUUUUGCGGUGCUCUAGUGGCGAACGGGUGAGUAACACGUGAGUAACCUACCCUUGACUUUGGGGUAACUUCAUGAAACUGGGUCUAAUACCGGAUAGGAGCUCCUGCUGCAUGGUGGGGGUUGGAAAGUUUCGGCGGUUGGUGAUGGACUCGCGGCUUAUCACCUUGUUGGUUGGGUAGUGGAUUACCAAGGCUUUGACGGGUAGCCGGCCUGUGAGGGUGACCGGCCACAUUGGGACUGAGAUACGGCCCAGACUGAUACGGGAGGGAGGAGGGGGGAAUAUAGAACAAUGGGCGGAAGAAUGAUGGAGCAACGCCGCGUGCGGGAUGACGGCAUUCGGGUGGGAACCGAUUUCGCCUGUGACGAAGCGUGAGUGACGGUAAUGGGUAAAGAAGCACCGGCUAACUACGUG
rnacentral:rRNA from 1 species